rnacentral:rRNA from 1 species
GUGAAACCGCUUAGAGGUAAACGGGUGGAUCCGCAAAGUCGGCCCGGGGAAUUCAACUUGCCGUUUGGGCUGCGGGCGUUGGGUCAGGGAUCCGUAAAGACCCGCCUGGCGUUCGGCAGUCGUCGGCGAGUGCACUUUCCUCGGGUAGAGCGCCACGACCGGUUUCGGAGCGGUCAUAAGCCGGCUGGGAAGGUGACUUCCUCCUCGGAGGAAGUGUUAUAGCCCGGCCAGGUCGGCUCGUUCCGAGACCGAGGAUUUGCCGCGUCUCACUGCCCCUGGCUCUCUGGGUGCGUUCGACUGGGGAAGCACUGCUUGCAGUUCUCUCCGACUGCGUGCCUUGAUUGGUCGGGAAGCACGAGGCGCUUCGGGUCAGUGGCGAAUCGGUCGGUCCUCCACCCGACCCGUCUUGAAACACGGACCAAGGAGUCUAACAUGUGCGCAAGUCAUGGGGUUCUGUACGAAACCUAAAGGCGCAAUGAAAGUGAAGGUCAACCUCCGGUAGGCCUAGGUAGGAUCCCCGCGAGGGGCGCACUACCGGCCCGUCUCGACCACAUCGUUGGUGGGGCGGAGCAAGAGCGUACACGUUGGGACCCGAAAGAUGGUGAACUAUGCCUGAGUAGGACGAAGCCAGAGGAAACUCUGGUGGAGGUCCGUAGCGAUUCUGACGUGCAAAUCGAUCGUCAAACUUGGGUAUAGGGGCGAAAGACUAAUCGAACCAUCUAGUAGCUGGUUCCCUCCGAAGUUUCCU